AUUGAACGCUGGCGGCAUGCCUUACACAUGCAAGUCGAACGGCAGCGGGGACUUCGGUCCGCCGGCGAGUGGCGAACGGGUGAGUAAUGUAUCGGAACGUACCAUUCAGUGGGGGAUAACUAUCCGAAAGGAUAGCUAAUACCGCAUAUUCUGUGAGCAGGAAAGCAGGGGAUCGCAAGACCUUGCUCUGUUUGAGCGGCCGAUAUCAGAUUAGCUAGUUGGUGAGGUAAAGGCUCACCAAGGCUACGAUCUGUAGCGGGUCUGAGAGGAUGAUCCGCCACACUGGGACUGAGACACGGCCCAGACUCCUACGGGAGGCAGCAGUGGGGAAUUUUGGACAAUGGGCGCAAGCCUGAUCCAGCCAUGCCGCGUGAGUGAAGAAGGCCUUCGGGUUGUAAAGCUCUUUCGGCCGGGAAGAAAUCGCAUCAGCUAAUACCUGGUGUGGAUGACGGUACCGGAAUAAGAAGCACCGGCUAACUACGUGCCAGCCGCCGCGGUAACAC
rnacentral:rRNA from 1 species